rnacentral:rRNA from 1 species
UACGAAGGGGGCUAGCGUUGCUCGGAAUCACUGGGCGUAAAGGGCGCGUAGGCGGACUCUUAAGUCGGAGGUGAAAGCCCAGGGCUCAACCCUGGAAUUGCCUUCGAUACUGGGAGUCUUGAGUUCGGAAGAGGUUGGUGGAACUGCGAGUGUAGAGGUGAAAUUCGUAGAUAUUCGCAAGAACACCGGUGGCGAAGGCGGCCAACUGGUCCGAAACUGACGCUGAGGCGCGAAAGCGUGGGGAGCAAACAGG